ACGGCAUGAGAAAAUGACACUUUUCAUUUCGGCGGGAACACGGAUUUGAGAUUUUUUUCGAUAUAACUUAAUUUUGGUCCCGAACUGAUAUUUAAUUAGUUAGACAUUUAGCAGUCUAACUCAAGAUAGUCCUGUAUGUUUUGGAAGAAGGAUGGUUGCAUGUGAAAUGUGGACAUCGUGGACGGCGCGAAGUUGAAAUUACAUUAAGGAUGCCUGUGUACUCCUUAGGAAAUGUAUACAGGACAUUAUUAACUACUAUAACGCACACAUCCCUUAUUUGUUCUACUCGUGGGUCUUGAAGGGGCAUGCUGCGGGCGGGGCGGCAGAGCCGUCGCCGGGCAACCACGAAGUUUUUCCAAAAAGCUGUCAGUCGAUAUAGCACCAAUGAAAUAUAUUUUACAUCUUUAUACUUAAUUUAUAAAAUACACCUUAAACUGGGAUUGUUUUAAUAAUUCGUUAUACUACUGAAAUUCGAUUGUAAUUUAAUUAAUACAAGAAGUGCUCACUAUGCCGCGAAGAAACAACGGGUUUUGAUUUGAAACUUUUCACAUUUAAUAGACAUUACUUGCUUUUCAGUUUUGGCGUUAUAAGACAAUUUCCACGUGAAUUUAUUAAGUAAAAUAACUUAUCAGAAUAAUAUCAACUGACGACAUUUAAGAAUUCGCUCCGCUAACUCCCAUUAACGACGUACAACAAUCACUAUGUCAAGGCUAACAUGCUCAUUGAGAUCAUCAAUAUUGUGUUAAAUCUCACGUGCUUUCUGAAUGACGUAACGCGAGUCGAUUUAAAAGGGCCGGCUUUAUGAAUGAGCGCAACGAAACACGAUACAUGCGUCGGUUUGAAUUAAAAAUAAAACUUUUAUUUGUGCUGUUAGCGCAUCGCUUUGAACUCGCCGAUGCUGUGGGUGGUGGUUGGGCCACAGUGACGGCGGGCAGAGUAGCGGAGCAUUUUGAUAUUCGUUGAGUUUGAAUUACUAACGAACUAGCAAAUAGUUUUCGUAGUCACGAACGAAGGAAAUAAUAAAAUAACUCACUAAAAUGACUGAGGUCGCGUUCGCCCACCUGUCCUGGCGAAACUGGAAACCCACCAGUCACCCAUUCAUCCUAAAAACAAAGAAGCAAGAAAAUGCCAAAAAAAAAUUAACAAAACAUCCAAGU